AACUGGCCCGGGUCACUUCAGCUCUGAGUCUGUUUGUUUGUGAAAUGGGUGGGGUCAUACCUACUGAAGAGUGGUUGGCAGAAGUGAGAUAAUGUGUAUAAAGUUGUUUAAACAUAGCAGAUGGUCAGUAAACGUAGCCAGUGAUUCUCACAGGCCAAAGGGCCGCCUCUACUGAAGUGAUCGGCCUAUUUGGUUGGACCAGGGGGGUCAGGCCGGUACGAGGGAAGGGAGCCCAGAAAGAGAAGCCUAUGAAUGUGAGGGUGUCCGGUGGACCUGCUUGGUGUGACCCUACAAAUAAAAAUGUGGAGUUGCAGAGACUUACAUGGAGCCAGUCUGGAGGGGAGCAUUUGCUGACCAGAGCCCUCCAUCAGUUAGCCUCCCUCUCCACUGCCCAGGGAAUUCCUGGGCCAGGUGGGGGCAGGUCCUUCAAAAGCUUAGGGAGGUCCUGGCAGAGAAGGCCUGAGCUCUGAGUCCUCCGGAGACCAGGGCCUCCACUACCCUUUGCCUCUACUUCUCAGGAUGCUCAUCACCACAGGAGAGACUCCCUGGGAAAGGGGUGGAGCCAGCAGGAGAGCUGAAAGGCCAGGCCAACCACAGGACUCAGGGAUGCAAAUCUCCCCCUCCCAUCAGUGUCUUAAGUUCCACCAUGGAUUCACCACAUGGGUCUCCUUAGCACCCUCUCCUAUUCCUCUCUUAAAGGGGACUCUACCACCUGCCUUCAGCCCACAGAGUCAGUUGAUGUUGGUGAAACACUUAUCAGAUCUUCCUCUGACCUGGAAGAGCCCAGAGCCCUGCUUGAGGUUAAGUCAGAGAAAUGGAGUUGAACUGGGAGAGGGUGCCUGCUGCCCUGCCAGGCGGCGGUCACCCUUGAGCUGGAAUGCUUGCAGGAUGGCGGAGCUGGAAGAGACCUCAGGGUUCUUUGGCCAAGAGAAAACCAAGAGCCCGGGGAGGGAGAGGAUUUGCCCAAAGUCACACAGCUGCUUAAGAAGCAGCUAGAGCCCGUCUCUGUUUCUCUUUACUGACUUUGAUGCUCCAUUGGUUUUCUUCCCUGAGAAGUAGAAGAGGCCUUGGGGCAGGGAGUGAAGCCAUUUCCCUCCGGGCCUCUGUUUCUUCAUCUGCUAAAUGGGAAUAACUAUACUUCCCUGCCAACACCCCCACUUGUUUAUGAAGCUUUGGUGAGUAACUACAGGGGAAAUGGCCUCCGUGGCAAAACCGUCUACCUGGUGACCACAGGACCCCAGAUUGGAGGCGACUGUGAGGGAUCUGAGGGUGGGCAGGGCAGAUGGGCCCAGAAGAUGUGUGUUCACCUUGUCAUCCUCCCCAGGUGAGUCCCAGGCCUGGGUUGCCAUGGAUACCGUGUCCCUAGAGCAUCAGAUCCAGAGCGUGCAACGCCACAUCAGCUUCCUGAAAAAAGAGCAGAUGGCCCUGCUGCGAGACCUGCACCUGGAAAUCCUGAGGCUGCAGAAACGCUGCUCAGAACUGACCCGUGACCUGGAGAUGAGAGAGGCCCAAUCUCACCAGCAAGGUAAGAGAAGGAUGACUGGUGGGGAGGUGCCAUGGGGCCCAACAGGUCACCUUUCCCCACCAAGCCUUCCAUGUCCCAGUCCAGACUGGUUGAGCACAGCGCAGGAUGUCAGCCGCACGUGUGCAGUGAGCAGCCUGCACCACCAUACACAGUGCCCUGUAUCUGUGUUCCUGGCGAAAGUAGGAAAA